GGCUGGUCCAAGUGCAGUGGUGUUUACAACUAAUUGAUCACAACCAGUUACAGAUUUCUUUGUUCCUUCUCCACUUCCACUGCUUCACUUGACUAGCCUUAA
rnacentral:Y_RNA from 1 species